rnacentral:lncRNA from 1 species
UUUAGAAUGUAAUUAGACCUACUCAAUUAGGGGCCCAUUGGGCCUGAGUUGAGAUUAUUUUGGGCCAAGUAGAAGACUCAUUCGGUCACUCAAGGUUAGAUAGAACCACCCAUGAGCUGAAAAAGUUAAAAGCACACUUUUCCAUGCUAUCAAAUAUGGUACCGCCCAAUGCAGGUAUUGGUACCACUCGUGUUUUCGGGGAUUUGAAUUUUGGUUCCAAGUUUUGAAGUCAUUUUGGG